AACGAACGCUGGCGGCAUGCCUAACACAUGCAAGUCGAACGAGACCUUCGGGUCUAGUGGCGCACGGGUGCGUAACGCGUGGGUACCUGCCCUUAGGUUCGGAAUAACUCCCCGAAAGGGGUGCUAAUACCGGAUAAUGUCUUCGGACCAAAGAUUUAUCGCCUUUGGAUGGGCCCGCGUUGGAUUAGCUAGUUGGUAGGGUAAAAGCCUACCAAGGCGACGAUCCAUAGCUGGUCUGAGAGGAUGAUCAGCCACACUGGGACUGAGACACGGCCCAGACUCCUACGGGAGGCAGCAGUGGGGAAUAUUGGACAAUGGGCGAAAGCCUGAUCCAGCAAUGCCGCGUGAGUGAUGAAGGCCUUAGGGUUGUAAAGCUCUUUUACCCGGGAUGAUAAUGACAGUACCGGGAGAAUAAGCUCCGGCUAACUCCGUG
rnacentral:rRNA from 1 species